GACGUUCGAACCCAAUCUUUUGCAGUUCUCUGCCUCAUCGCGCCACUCAUCACACAUCCACAAAAACGCGACCUCCUACUCCACCUUUCGGCCCUUAUGCCACUUCAAAUCAGCUGACUACUCGGAGAUCUGCCAGUGUUAUGACCAUACUUGGUUGUACAAGUGCUUCAUACAUGACCAGUCAGAAACAGCUUGAUCGGGAAUUAACUGUUAACCAAUGCAGACUCUGUUUACUAGUAAAAGAAAAGUACGGAUGAAGAGGAAGGAGAGGAGUAGGAAUCAGAAGAGAAAAAGAGGAGUAGAAGGAAGUUGAAGGAAUAAAUGAAGAAAAGAAAGAAAAGUUUGCUACUAUGUCCAACUUAAGGCUCAUCCUUUCAUCUGAUGAUAUGUUGCGGUAGAGCCCUGCGACUUCUUUGG